rnacentral:rRNA from 1 species
AAAAGUGAAAGACGGUCUUGCUGUCACUUAUAGAUGGAUCCGCGCUGCAUUAGCUAGUUGGUAAGGUAACGGCUUACCAAGGCAACGAUGCAUAGCCGACCUGAGAGGGUGAUCGGCCACACUGGAACUGAGACACGGUCCAGACUCCUACGGGAGGCAGCAGUAGGGAAUCUUCCGCAAUGGGCGAAAGCCUGACGGAGCAACGCCGCGUGAGUGAUGAAGGUCUUCGGAUCGUAAAACUCUGUUAUUAGGGAAGAACAUAUGUGUAAGUAACUGUGCACAUCUUGACGGUACCUAAUCAGAAAGCCACGGCUAACUACGUGCCAGC